GAAAGAGGCAAGAGGCAAUUAAGGACUGCUAAUCCUUAUACCCACAGUUAAACUCUGUGGCUCCUUCA
rnacentral:tRNA from 1 species